GAGUCGCACCAGGGGAGCUUCCGGCGACGCCAAAGGGCGUCAGGGGAAGCUGAGAGGGCGCAGGGGAGGGUUCUCCCGCCGCGCCGACCCUCAGACCUGAUCCGGAUAAUGCCGGCGGAGGAAGGCUUUACACAAGACGC
rnacentral:ncRNA from 1 species